rnacentral:lncRNA from 1 species
CUCGUAAGCAUACAUUUUUCUUUUAAAACUUUCGCUAUCUUGUCACUAACAUCUGUUCAACAAGUUCAAAAAGUUCUAUAAAGGUGUAUCGUUGUGUGGUAUUAGUCAAAUGAACCAUGGUGAAAUUGUGAUAUUUGUCGUAGGAGAAAUGCAUCAACAGUAAAAUCACAAAAAUACUGAACUCCGAGGAAAAUUCAAAACGAAAAGUACCUAAUCAAAUGUUAAAAUCAAAUGAUGAAACAGAUGAAACGAGUGGACACAACAACCGUAUAACGACUUAUUUUAGCUGGUGUAACAUUUUGCGAUUUCCAUUGAAUAAGGUACAUGAAUAUGAAAUAUUUUGGCGGUUAUUAUUUUGGCGGAUACAAAACUUUUAUCAAUACCUUUGUUCUAUCUGCGACAAUAUGCGAAAAUUGGCAUCCCGCGAAAAUAACCCGCUAUACGGUAUACUAUUUCUGAAUUGAUCAUGUUGAUACAGGCAUUUUCAAUGUAGAAAAGGGUGGAUUGAACCUGUUUUUAUAGCGCAUAACUUUUAUAUUGUAUGAAAGUCGCAUCAAAUU